rnacentral:rRNA from 1 species
AACGAACGCUGGCGGCAUGCCUAACACAUGCAAGUCGAACGAGACCUUCGGGUCUAGUGGCGCACGGGUGCGUAACGCGUGGGAACCUGCCCUUAGGUUCGGAAUAACUCCCCGAAGGGGGUGCUAAUACCGGAUAAUGUCAUCGGACCAAAGAUUUAUCGCCAUUGGAUGGGCCCGCGUUGGAUUAGCUGGUUGGUAGGGUAAAAGCCUACCAAGGCGACGAUCCAUAGCUGGUCGGAGAGGAUGAUAAGCCACAAUGGAACUGAGACACGGCCCAGACUGCUACGCGAGGCAGCAGUGGGGAAUAUUGGAGACUGAGCGAAAGCGUGAUCAAGCAAUGCCGCGUGAGUGAUGAAGGCCUUAGGGUUGUAAAGCUCUUUUACCCGGGAUGAUAAUGACAGUACUGGGAGAAGAAGCUCCGGCUAACUCCGUG